rnacentral:lncRNA from 1 species
UUUAAGGUUAUAUAAUGUUGGCUUUUAAUAACUCUCCAUUUCUCACACCUCUAUCUGCCCAAUCUAAAAAUGGAAUCCCAGAGCAGACAGCAGCACAACGCGAAGAGCUCUCCUGAGCCAAACACAGAGGAAUGGCAGCUGAGCCAGCUACACUUGGCAGUGCUCUCAGUAGGUUUUGUGGAAAAUUGUAUUUCCAUAGGUGUACAGUUUCAUGUCUUUUAAAGUUACGUGGUUAUCAGACCAGCGCCAGACUAUUUGCUCCCAUGCUUCCUGAUGGCCCAGGAGAGGGGCUACUACCUACCUAAGCUACGCUGGACACUCCUAGAGCACAUGCCCUUCUCUCUUUUCUUAAGCCCAGGACUGUCACAUGCAGUGGCCAUUUUUUAAAAAAAGCUACAGGAGGUAGAUUUAAUGUUUAAACCAUUAAAUAGGUCACUAUUCUGACCAUUUCUGAUGCUUUUUUUUCCCCUCAAAACCUAAGUUCUUAGGGUGUUUGCUUUUUCAAAGAGAUAUUUGCCUUUGUCCUAUGUCAUUCCCCCAUCAAUUUUUGGUUUGGAACAAUUUCCAAAUGCAUCAGGACCCCUACAGUAGUCAUUACUUCAUCUAUUUCCAUACUGAAGAUUUACGUGUGACUUCAGCUGGAGCUAUUUGAAUUGGCACUAAGAACAUUCUGGCAGGGGAAAUAGAGAAAAGGAUAUAUUCGACUGCCCUGUACAUGAACAGCGGGGCUACAGUGC